ensembl:lncRNA
AUUUGAACAGAAAUGAAGUUUUUAAGCGGUUCUCUGAGUGCCACUGCAAGUUUGAUGAUGGUGAAAGUGCCACACUAUGUUUUCUACCACCUGCAAUCACAUUCAACUGUCUAAAGUUUCACAGAGUGGGAUUAAUGGACCUGGAUCAUGCAGUUAUGCAGCCACUUCUACAUACAGACAGGCAGUGCGUCGCCCCAAUCGCCCUUAUGGACAAGCCGCCCCUGUCCAGAUGUACUGUUGAGUGUCGGCCCUGAAGAUGCAUCACAACACAAGUGUCCACAGAAGGGUGGGAGAGAGGAAGAAGGGCGAUGCUGCAAACGGUAGUCAAAGUCUGUAAAUGGCCCAACAAUCCUUCACAACCAAUAUGCACCUUUUUGAAGUGGGUCCAUUCCAGACUCCCAAGCAGAUGGAAUUCCGCAGGCUGAAUCCAGUCAUUACAAAGCAAUAUUUCAACCAUCAAAAAUGGAUGGAAGGAUGUCAUUCUCAGGAGUAAAUGGAUCAAUUCAAGCCCAGCUUUAAAAAACACUCACCCUGCUGCACCUCCUUUCACCCAAUAGGGAGGCAGCCAAGGCAGACAGCAUUUCAAUGAGUUCUGCAAAACACAAUGCAAGCUGUAUGAACAGUCUGUUCAACAUGUUUGUAGAAGGUCAAAUAAAAAACAGA